rnacentral:rRNA from 1 species
CCUAGUAACGGCGAGUGAAGCGGGAAGAGCUCAAAUUUGAAAUCUGGUGGCCUCAGGUCAUCCGAGUUGUAAUCUAUAGAAGUGUUUUCCGUGCUGGCUCAUGUACAAGUCCCUUGGAACAGGGCGUCAUAGAGGGUGAGAAUCCCGUCCUUGACAUGAACUACCAGUGCUCUGUGAUACAUUUUCAACGAGUCGAGUUGUUUGGGAAUGCAGCUCAAAAUGGGUGGUAAAUUCCAUCUAAAGCUAAAUAUUGGCGAGAGACCGAUAGCGAACAAGUACCGUGAGGGAAAGAUGAAAAGCACUUUGGAAAGAGAGUUAAACAGUAUGUGAAAUUGUUGAAAGGGAAACGAUUGAAGUCAGUCGUGCUCUUUGGAUUCAGCCGGUUCUGCCGGUGUACUUCCUUUGAGUGGGGUCAACAUCAGUUUUGAUCGCUGGAUAAAGGCUGGAGGAACGUAGUACCCUCGGGUAAACUUAUAGCCUCCUGUCACAUACAGUGGUUGGGACUGAGGAACGCAGCACGCCUUUAUGGCCGGGAUUCGUCCACGUACGUGCUUAGGAUGUUGACAUAAUGGCUUUAAACG